AACGAACGCUGGCGGCAUGCCUAACACAUGCAAGUCGAACGAUCCCUUCGGGGUUAGUGGCGCACGGGUGCGUAACGCGUGGGAAGCUGCACUUAGGUUCGGUAUAACUGAGAGAGAUUUGAGCUAAUACCGGUUAGUGUCUUAGGACCAAAGAUUUUUCGCUUUUGGAUGGGCGCGCGUUAGUUUAGCUGGUUGGGGGGGUAAAGGCCUACCAAGGGGACGAUCCAUAGCUGGUCUGAGAGGAUGAUCCGGCACACUGGCACUGCGACACGGCCCAGACUCCUACGCAAGGCAGCAGUGGGGAAUAUUGGACAAGGGGCCCAAGCCUGACCCAGCCAUGCCGGGGGAGUGAUGAAGGCGGUAGGGUUGUACAGCUCUUUUACCCGAGGUGAGAAUGACAGUACCGGGAGAAUAAGCCCCGGCUAACUCCGUG
rnacentral:rRNA from 1 species